rnacentral:rRNA from 1 species
CACAUGCUAUCGGAUGCGCCUACGUGGGAUUAGCUAGUUGGUGAGGUAAUGGCUCACCAAGGCGACGAUCCCUAGCUGGUUUGAGAGGAUGAUCAGCCACACUGGAACUGAGACACGGUCCAGACUCCUACGGGAGGCAGCAGUGGGGAAUAUUGGACAAUGGGCGCAAGCCUGAUCCAGCCAUGCCGCGUGUGUGAAGAAGGCCUUCGGGUUGUAAAGCACUUUCAGUUGGGAGGAAGGGUUGUGUGUUAAUAGUACACAGCCUUGACGUUACCAACAGAAGAAGCACCGGCUAACUCUGUGCCAGCAGCCGCGGUAAUACAGAGGGUGCAAGCGUUAAUCGGAAUUACUGGGCGUAAAGCGCACGUAGGCGGUUUUUUAAGUCAGAUGUGAAAGCCCCGGGCUCAACCUGGGAAUUGCAUUUGAAACUGGAAAACUAGAGUGUGUGAGAGGGGGGUAGAAUUCCAAGUGUAGCGGUGAAAUGCGUAGAGAUUUGGNAGNGAAUACCAGUGGCGAAGGCGGCCCCCUGGCACAACACUGACGCUCAGGUGCGAAAGCGUGGGGAGCAAACAGGAUUAGAUACUCUGGUAGUCCACGCCGUAAACGAUGUCUACUAGCUGUUCGUGACCUUGUGUCGUGAGUAGCGCAGCUAACGCACUAAGUAGACCGCCUGGGGAGUACNGNGUCGCAAGAUUAAAACUCAAAUGAAUUGACGGGGGCCCGCACAAGCGGUGGAGCAUGUGGUUUAAUUCGACGCAACGCGAAGAACCUUACCUACUCUUGACAUCCAGAGAAGACUGCGGAGAUGCGGUUGUGCCUUCGGGAACUCUGAGACAGGUGCUGCAUGGCUGUCGUCAGCUCGUGUUGUGAAAUGUUGGGUUAAGUCCCGCAACGAGCGCAACCCUUAUCCUUAGUUGCCAGCACGUAAUGGUGGGAACUCUAGGGAGACUGCCGGUGAUAAACCGGAGGAAGGUGGGGACGACGUCAAGUCAUCAUGGCCCUUACGAGUAGGGCUACACACGUGCUACAAUGGUAUGUACAGAGGGAGGCAAGCUGGCGACAGUGAGCGGAUCUCUUAAAGCAUAUCGUAGUCCGGAUCGCAGUCUGCAACUCGACUGCGUGAAGUCGGAAUCGCUAGUAAUCGCAAAUCAGAAUGUUGCGGUGAA